rnacentral:misc_RNA from 1 species
GGAACUGGCGAUUCCUACUGAUCCGAGGUCACCUUUAAAAAUUGGUGGUUUAGCGGCUGGAGCACGCCGGGACGAUCCGAACGAGGUUCGCGUUUUACCGCGUUUUACUGCGCUCAGUGUACCGACGAGCCCGCCGAUGAACUUGGGGGCCCCGGGCCGCGGAGGGCCCGGGCGCCCCCACCCCACGCCGACCCCCCCCGGUCCCAAUCCCCCCCCAACCCCCACCCCCCCCGCACCACCGCGCCGCCCCCCGGCCCCUCAAACCCCAACACCCCCCUCCCACCCCCCCACCCCCCCUCCCCCCGCCUUCCCCCCCCUCCCCCAUCGCUGCCAACACCCCCCCCUCCCCCCCUCAACACUCCCCCCACCCCCCCCCCCGCCCCCGCCCUCACCCCCACCACCCCCCAUCCCCCCCCCCCUCCGGCCCCCCACGCACCAACCCCUAAACGCGCCCCCCCCCCCAGGGUUGAAAACCCGCCGAAGGUGGCGUCCCGAUAGCCGGAGGAAGGAUCAUUACUGAGUUGAAAAACUCCACCCUGUGAACAUAACCUCUGUCGUUGCUUCGGCGGGCACCCCCCGGAGGUUCAAAACUCUUAUUUUUUCAGUAUCUCUGAGCCUGAAAGAAAAUAAUCAAACUUUCACAACGGAUCUCUUGGUUCUGGCAUCGAUGAAGAACCAGCGAAAUGCGAUAAGUAAUGGUGAAUUGCAGAAUUCAUGGAAUCACCAAUCUUUAAAGCCAUUGCGCCCCCGCUAUUCGGCGGGCAUGCUGUUCGAGCGUAUUUCACCCACCUCGCUGGUGUUUGGGGGGGCCCGGGAAGU